rnacentral:lncRNA from 1 species
GGUCGCCGGGGUGUCACGAUGGCGGCGCCCAGGUGCUGCGUUCUAUGGCGCGUCUGCGGCCGCGGGUGGUGGCGAGCCACGGGACACUGCAGGCUCCCCGGGUGUCAUAGAUCCUGGCCAUGGGCCACGCUGGGAACGCGGUCCUUGUCCCAGGAGAAGCGAGCCGCGGAAACGCACUUCGGGUUUGAGACCGUGUCGGAAGGGGAGAAAGGAAGCAAAGGUGACAGAGGGCGCGAGGGUGGAUGGAGGGACCUGUCGGGCUCCUGUUCGGGUUCCUUUUCUCACUGAGGGUUGAUUGGAUGCCCUGUCGGCCCCGGAGCUGUGUUCCUUACUGUCCUGACUUCCCAGACCCAGCUUCCCUUUCGGGGACUCAUUUGCUGUCACUGCCACUGCAGCCAUUUGAGACGCUGCCCCCGGCGACGCGCCCCCUUUUGUCAGGGUCUCUCUGUGUCACCUUGACUGCCCUGGAGCUGUCCAGGAUGGCCUCGAACUCACAGAGAUGCACCUGCCUGUGCCUCUGCCUCUGGAGCGCUGCCAUUAAAGGCUGUGCGCCACCAAACCCGGCUUUUCCCUCUUUGAAGCACAGCAUGACCCUUUACGCUCGUCAACUGCGAGAUUGUCCUAUACGUAUGCCAGGUGCCGUGUACAGAUUUUCCCCCCACCCAUUUCUCACUUCAGUUUCCCACUAGUGACUGUUGUUACUACUUUUCUGAGGGAAUAUAGGGUUAAGGUUAAGCUUGCACUAUUUAAAAUGGUAGCCAGGAGCUGGGACUGUGGCACAAUUGGUCGAGUGCUGCUGGCCUGUCACUUCCUGCGGCUCAGUUUCAUCCCCAGCACCUCAUAAUUUGUGUGGUGGUGUAAACUGUGUUCCCAGCACUUGGCAGGUGUGUGGGGGAAGGUUACAAGUACAAGGUAAUUCUCUUACUGUACUGUGAAUUUGAAGCCAGCCUCAGACAGAGAGAUACUGCCUCCACAAAGAUAAGUAUAAACUUGUAAGUUAGAAGAGUAACUACUUGUCUAACACAGAAUUUACAUCCUUAUUUUCUUACUAAAGAAAGACACU